UACGUAGGGUGCAAGCGUUAUCCGGAAUUAUUGGGCGUAAAGAGCUCGUAGGCGGUUUGUCGCGUCUGCUGUGAAAACUGGGGGCUCAACCCCCAGCCUGCAGUGGGUACGGGCAGACUAGAGUGCGGUAGGGGAGAUUGGAAUUCCUGGUGUAGCGGUGGAAUGCGCAGAUAUCAGGAGGAACACCGGUGGCGAAGGCAGAUCUCUGGGCCGGAACUGACGCUGAGGAGCGAAAGCCUGGGGAGCGAACAGG
rnacentral:rRNA from 1 species